rnacentral:snoRNA from 1 species
AUGUGAGAGGAUGGUAAUCAUCUUUUGAGACUUAUCUGAAAUGAAGAGAAUGCUGAUUGCUGGUCACUC